UUCCGGUUGAUCCUGCCGGAGGCGACCGCUUUGGGAGUUCGAUUAAGCCAUGCGAGUCGUGAGUCUUAGGGACUCGGCAUACUGCUCAGUAACACGUGGAUAACCUGCCCUAUCGUCUGGAAUAACCUCGGGAAACUGAGAAUAAGGCCGGAUAGUUCACAAUGCCUGGACCGGUUUGUGAAUCAAGGUAGGAUGGGUCUGCGGCGUAUCAGGUUGUAGGGGGUGUAAAGGACCCCCUAGCCUUCGACGCGUACGGGUGUUGGGAGACAUAGCCCGGAGAUGGAUUCUGAGACACGAAUCCAGACCCUACGGGGUGCAGCAGGCGCGAAAACUUCACACUGCAGGAAACUGUGAUGAGGGAACUCCUAGUGCAUGCACUAUGUGUAUGUAGAUCCUACUCUUAACAAGUAGAGGGAAAGGGCUGGGAAAGACCGGUGCCAGCCGCCGCGGUAAUACCGGCAGCUCAAGUGGUCGUCGCUUUUAUUGGGCCUAAAACGUCCGUAGCCUGUUUGGUAAAUCUGUGGGUAAAUCAAUCCGCUCAACGGAUUGAAUUCUGCAGAGACUGCCAGACUAGGGACCGGGAGAGGUGUGGGGUACUCGAGGGGUAGGGGUAAAAUCCUGUCAUCCUUCGAGGACCACCAGUUGCGAAGGCGCCACACUGGAACGGAUCCGACGGUCAGGGACGAAGCCUAGGGGCACGAACCGGAUUAGAUACCCGGGUAGUCCUAGGUGUAAACGCUGUGAACUUGGUGUCGGGGGUCCGCAAGGGGUCCCCGGUGCCGGAGUGAAGAUGUUAAGUUCACUGCCUGGGGAGUACGGUCGCAAGGCUGAAACUUAAAGGAAUUGGCGGGGCAGCAC
rnacentral:rRNA from 1 species